GACGAACCACACAAACGUUAUUCGGAAUUACUGGGCUUAAAGGGUGCGUAGGCGGCGCGGCAAGUUGGGUGUGAAAUCCCUCGGCUCAACCGAGGAACUGCGCCCAAAACUACCGUGCUCGAGGGAGAUAGAGGUGAGCGGAACUUAGGGUGGAGCGAUGAAAUGCGUUGAUAUCCUAAGGAACACCCGUGGCGAAAGCGGCUCACUGGGUCUCUUCUGACGCUGAGGCACGAAAGCUAGGGUAGCGAACGGG
rnacentral:rRNA from 1 species